CCUACGGGUGGCUGCAGUGGGGAAUAUUGGACAAUGGGGGGAACCCUGAUCCAGCCAUGCCGCGUGUGUGAAGAAGGUCCUCGGGUUGUAAAGCACUUUCAGUGAGGAAGAACGCCUGGUGGUUAAUACCCAUCAGGAAAGACAUCACUCACAGAAGAAGCACCGGCUAACUCCGUGCCAGCAGCCGCGGUAAUACGGAGGGUGCGAGCGUUAAUCGGAAUUACUGGGCGUAAAGCGCGCGUAGGUGGCUUGAUAAGCCGGUUGUGAAAGCCCCGGGCUCAACCUGGGAACGGCAUCCGGAACUGUCAAGCUAGAGUGCAGGAGAGGAAGGUAGAAUUCCCGGUGUAGCGGUGAAAUGCGUAGAGAUCGGGAGGAAUACCAGUGGCGAAGGCGGCCUUCUGGACUGACACUGACACUGAGGUGCGAAAGCGUGGGUAGCAAACAGGAUUAGAUACCCUGGUAGUC
rnacentral:rRNA from 1 species